rnacentral:rRNA from 1 species
GACGAACGCUGGCGGCGUGCUUAACACAUGCAAGUCGAGCGGUAAGGCCCUUUCGGGGGUACACGAGCGGCGAACGGGUGAGUAACACGUGGGUGACCUGCCCUUAGCUCUGGGAUAAGCCUGGGAAACUGGGUCUAAUACCGGAUAUGACUCCAUGACGCAUGUUGUGGGGUGGAAAGCCUUGUGCGGCUAGGGAUGGGCCCGCGGCCUAUCAGCUUGUUGGUGGGGUGAUGGCCACCAAGGCGACGACGGUAGCCGGCCUGAGAGGGCGACCGGCCACACUGGGACUGAGACACGGCCCAGACUCCUACGGGAGGCAGCAGGUGGGGAAUCUUGCGCAAUGGGCGAAAGCCUGACGCAGCGACGCCGCGUGGGGAUGACGGCCU